rnacentral:rRNA from 1 species
AGUGAACGCUGGCGGUAGGCCUAACACAUGCAAGUCGAACGGCAGCACAGUAAGAGCUUGCUCUUACGGGUGGCGAGUGGCGGACGGGUGGGGAAUACAUCGGAAUCUACUUUUUCGUGGGGGAUAACGUAGGGAAACUUACGCUAAUACCGCAUACGACCUACGGGUGAAAGCAGGGGAUCUUCGGACCUUGCGCGAUUGAAUGAGCCGAUGUCGGAUUAGCUAGUUGGCGGGGUAAAGGCCCACCAAGGCGACGAUCCGUAGCUGGUCUGAGAGGAUGAUCAGCCACACUGGAACUGAGACACGGUCCAGACUCCUACGGGAGGCAGCAGUGGGGAAUAUUGGACAAUGGGCGCAAGCCUGAUCCAGCCAUACCGCGUGGGUGAAGAAGGCCCGCGGGUUGUAAAGCCCUUUUGUUGGGAAAGAAAAGCAGCAGGUUAAUACCCCGCUGUUCGGACGGUACCCAAAGAAUAAGCACCGGCUAACUUCGG